UCGAGACCUGCUGUGAGAGUACCUGAAGAAAAAGCAUCGGCUAACUCCGUGCCAGCAGCCGCGGUAAUACGGAGGAUGCGAGCGUUAUCCGGAUUUAUUGGGUUUAAAGGGUGCGCAGGCGGAGGCACAAGUCAGCGGUAAAAUCGCGGGGCUCAACCCCGCUCCGCCGUUGAAACUGUGUCCCUUGAGUGCGCGAAGGGUAGGCGGAAUGCGUGGUGUAGCGGUGAAAUGCAUAGAUAUCACGCAGAACUCCGAUCGCGAAGGCAGCCUACCGGCGCGCAACUGACGCUCAUGCACGAAAGCGUGGGUAUCGAACAGGAUUAGAUACCCUGGUAGUCCACGCAGUAAACGAUGAAUGCUAUCUGUCCGGCCGGAAUGACGGCUGG
rnacentral:rRNA from 1 species